CAUAGGUUAAUGAGGCGAACCGGGGGAACUGAAACAUCUAAGUACCCCGAGGAAAAGAAAUCAACCGAGAUUCCCCCAGUAGCGGCGAGCGAACGGGGAGCAGCCCAGAGCCUGAAUCAGUGUGUGUGUUAGUGGAAGCGUCUGGAAAGGCGCGCGAUACAGGGUGACAGCCCCGUACACAAAAAUGCACAUACUGUGAGCUCGAUGAGUAGGGCGGGACACGUGGUAUCCUGUCUGAAUAUGGGGGGACCAUCCUCCAAGGCUAAAUACUCCUGACUGACCGAUAGUGAACCAGUACCGUGAGGGAAAGGCGAAAAGAACCCCGGCGAGGGGAGUGAAAAAGAACCUGAAACCGUGUACGUACAAGCAGUGGGAGCACGCUUAGGCGUGUGACUGCGUACCUUUUGUAUAAUGGGUCAGCGACUUAUAUUCUGUAGCAAGGUUAACCGAAUAGGGGAGCCGAAGGGAAACCGAGUCUUAACUGGGCGUUAAGUUGCAGGGUAUAGACCCGAAACCCGGUGAUCUAGCCAUGGGCAGGUUGAAGGUUGGGUAACACUAACUGGAGGACCGAACCGACUAAUGUUGAAAAAUUAGCGGAUGACUUGUGGCUGGGGGUGAAAGGCCAAUCAAACCGGGAGAUAGCUGGUUCUCCCCGAAAGCUAUUUAGGUAGCGCCUCGUGAAUUCAUCUCCGGGGGUAGAGCACUGUUUCGGCAAGGGGGUCAUCCCGACUUACCAACCCGAUGCAAACUGCGAAUACCGGAGAAUGUUAUCACGGGAGACACACGGCGGGUGCUAACGUCCGUCGUGAAGAGGGAAACAACCCAGACCGCCAGCUAAGGUCCCAAAGUCAUGGUUAAGUGGGAAACGAUGUGGGAAGGCCCAGACAGCCAGGAUGUUGGCUUAGAAGCAGCCAUCAUUUAAAGAAAGCGUAAUAGCUCACUGGUCGAGUCGGCCUGCGCGGAAGAUGUAACGGGGCUAAACCAUGCACCGAAGCUGCGGCAGCGACGCUUAUGCGUUGUUGGGUAGGGGAGCGUUCUGUAAGCCUGCGAAGGUGUGCUGUGAGGCAUGCUGGAGGUAUCAGAAGUGCGAAUGCUGACAUAAGUAACGAUAAAGCGGGUGAAAAGCCCGCUCGCCGGAAGACCAAGGGUUCCUGUCCAACGUUAAUCGGGGCAGGGUGAGUCGACCCCUAAGGCGAGGCCGAAAGGCGUAGUCGAUGGGAAACAGGUUAAUAUUCCUGUACUUGGUGUUACUGCGAAGGGGGGACGGAGAAGGCUAUGUUGGCCGGGCGACGGUUGUCCCGGUUUAAGCGUGUAGGCUGGUUUUCCAGGCAAAUCCGGAAAAUCAAGGCUGAGGCGUGAUGACGAGGCACUACGGUGCUGAAGCAACAAAUGCCCUGCUUCCAGGAAAAGCCUCUAAGCAUCAGGUAACAUCAAAUCGUACCCCAAACCGACACAGGUGGUCAGGUAGAGAAUACCAAGGCGCUUGAGAGAACUCGGGUGAAGGAACUAGGCAAAAUGGUGCCGUAACUUCGGGAGAAGGCACGCUGAUAUGUAGGUGAAGUCCCUCGCGGAUGGAGCUGAAAUCAGUCGAAGAUACCAGCUGGCUGCAACUGUUUAUUAAAAACACAGCACUGUGCAAACACGAAAGUGGACGUAUACGGUGUGACGCCUGCCCGGUGCCGGAAGGUUAAUUGAUGGGGUUAGCGCAAGCGAAGCUCUUGAUCGAAGCCCCGGUAAACGGCGGCCGUAACUAUAACGGUCCUAAGGUAGCGAAAUUCCUUGUCGGGUAAGUUCCGACCUGCACGAAUGGCGUAAUGAUGGCCAGGCUGUCUCCACCCGAGACUCAGUGAAAUUGAACUCGCUGUGAAGAUGCAGUGUACCCGCGGCAAGACGGAAAGACCCCGUGAACCUUUACUAUAGCUUGACACUGAACAUUGAGCCUUGAUGUGUAGGAUAGGUGGGAGGCUUUGAAGUGUGGACGCCAGUCUGCAUGGAGCCGACCUUGAAAUACCACCCUUUAAUGUUUGAUGUUCUAACGUGGACCCGUAAUCCGGGUUGCGGACAGUGUCUGGUGGGUAGUUUGACUGGGGCGGUCUCCUCCUAAAGAGUAACGGAGGAGCACGAAGGUUGGCUAAUCCUGGUCGGACAUCAGGAGGUUAGUGCAAUGGCAUAAGCCAGCUUGACUGCGAGCGUGACGGCGCGAGCAGGUGCGAAAGCAGGUCAUAGUGAUCCGGUGGUUCUGAAUGGAAGGGCCAUCGCUCAACGGAUAAAAGGUACUCCGGGGAUAACAGGCUGAUACCGCCCAAGAGUUCAUAUCGACGGCGGUGUUUGGCACCUCGAUGUCGGCUCAUCACAUCCUGGGGCUGAAGUAGGUCCCAAGGGUAUGGCUGUUCGCCAUUUAAAGUGGUACGCGAGCUGGGUUUAGAACGUCGUGAGACAGUUCGGUCCCUAUCUGCCGUGGGCGCUGGAGAACUGAGGGGGGCUGCUCCUAGUACGAGAGGACCGGAGUGGACGCAUCACUGGUGUUCGGGUUGUCAUGCCAAUGGCACUGCCCGGUAGCUAAAUGCGGAAGAGAUAAGUGCUGAAAGCAUCUAAGCACGAAACUUGCC
rnacentral:rRNA from 1 species